AUGAGCACGGUGCUCAAGAAGAUUUCAUCCGCCACAAGCGGUUUGAACAAAGCAUUUAUGAGCCUGCUCAGAGGCUUUGAGGUAUCUAAGGGUCCGGCAGCCAACCAGUCCAUUGAAGUUGCCGAGCUAAGGAGGCAGAUCGGAUCUAUUGAUGUCAAUAUCACGCUGGUGAACGAGCGGCUGAACGAGUCACAAGAUGGUGUUGCUGCCAUGGAAGCCCUGAGGGCGGAACUUUCCCAGGCCAAGGAACAAGCUCGGGUUAGCAAUGCGGCUGCCCUAAAGGCGGGUGAAGAAUUAAGAGCCAAACAGGCUGCUCAUCGCCGAAGUGAGGAAAAGAUAGCCGAAAUGGCUGUGGAGUUGAAAAAUGCCGCCGACCGGUAUGAACUCCUUGAAAAGGAGAAUAAGGCUAGUUCGGCCGACCUGAAUAGGCACUUCAUGCCACCAAGGAGAUGCGGACCAAGGUCAGGGGUGUGCGGGAGGAGCUUCAACAGGCCGGUAAAAUCGUGGCUGGGGGCUCCUACUUACUGCGGACGAAGUUUUUGA
rnacentral:rRNA from 1 species